UAGUAUUAAAAGAGUAUCUUGGUCAACUUUACAUCACCAAAGUUUCCGGAUGUGCAGAUGGGAAUUCAUUAGCGGGUGAGUUUUAACAGAAAAAAGCGAAGGAAAACCAGUUAAUAUCUGCAUUAACCAUACUCCAUACCAGCAAAUAUUAUAUCUUCAAACAUUUGCUGGAAUACCGUACUUACCAAUUUGGAAGGUUAGGUGCACAAGCUGUGAACCGAGGUGGCCUGGGAACGAGCUGUGAUUCCGGGACGUUUGGGAACGAGCGGUGGUACUUGGAUUACGGAAAGAUCCACUGCAAGUGGUAUCUUGAACUGCCAACCACACUCGUUCAGCUUGCACUUAUCACAUCAAUAAAACUGGUGGUAAAGAACACAAUUUUACUUGAUGAACGGGGUGGCUGGUGGGGAUUUUACGUUAAGUUGUCGAGCAAGAUCACCGUACACUUUGCGUGCUUCGCAGAAUAUUAGAGACAUUCAGAUUUGACUUCCGA